rnacentral:rRNA from 1 species
CCGGGUGAGUAACACGUAUCCAACCUGCCGUCUACUCUUGGACAGCCUUCUGAAAGGAAGAUUAAUACAAGAUGGCAUCAUGAGUCCGCAUGUUCACAUGAUUAAAGGUAUUCCGGUAGACGAUGGGGAUGCGUUCCAUUAGAUAGUAGGCGAGGUAACGGCCCACCUAGUCUUCGAUGGAUAGGGGUUCUGAGAGGAAGGUCCCCCACAUUGGAACUGAGACACGGUCCAA